CCUACGGGUGGCAGCAGUAGGGAAUAUUGCUCAAUGGGGGAGACCCUGAAGCAGCAAAGCCGCGUGGAGGAUGAAGGUUUUCUGAUUGUAAACUCCUUUUGUUAGAGAAGAUAAUGACGGUAUGUAACGAAUAAGCAACGGAUAACUCCGUGCCAGCAGCCGCGGUAAUACGGAGGGUGCCAGGGUUACACGGAGUCACUGGGCGUAAAGAGGGCGUAGGGGGGUUAUCAAGUCAGUUGUGAAAUCGUAUGGCUUAACCGUAGAAUUGCAAUUGAAACUGUUAGUCUAGAGUAUGGGAGAGGUAGGUGGAAUUCGUGGUGUAGGGGUAAAAUCCGUAGAGAUCAAGAAGAAUCCUGAUUGCGAAGGCGACCUGCUAAAACAUAACUGACGCUGAUGCUCGAAAGCGUGGGGAGCAAACAGGAUUAGAUACCCCUGUAGUC
rnacentral:rRNA from 1 species